rnacentral:lncRNA from 1 species
AGGAAUGUUCUCUUUCAUGAAUCAAUUUUUCCUUUUAAAUCUGUGCCUCCUUCUGCUCCUCCUCCUGCCUCUUCUUUUCCCUUUAUUCCUUCUGGAGAACAUGAUGAUGCCUCUGAUUCUCCCAUUCCUCUCUCUCCUCCCUCUUCUCCCACAUCUGUGCAGCUGCCUUUUCCUACUCCUUUUAGUCCUGCUAAUUCCCCUUCUGUUUUAGUUCCUUCUCCCUCUGUUCCUGCUCCCAGAAAGUCUCACGGACCACAUAAUCCUCCUUCCUAUCUUAAGGAUUAUGUUUGUCAACUCCCUACCUUCUCUGGCUCAUCUUCCUCCUCUUUGGAAUCUGAGCCUCUCUAUUAU